rnacentral:rRNA from 1 species
GGGCGCCUGGGCGAAGCCUGAUCCAGCCAUGCCGCGUGUGUGAAGAAGGUCUUCGGAUUGUAAAGCACUUUAAGUUGGGAGGAAGGGCAGUAAGCUAAUACCUUGCUGUUUUGACGUUACCGACAGAAUAAGCACCGGCUAACUCUGUGCCAGCAGCCGCGGUAAU